AUGCCCCCAUCGUUGCCAAAAACCCCUAAAAUUCGCCUCCGGGACGCCCUCAUCGCGGCCAAAAAAAACCCCAAACUUCGCGUCGGCGCCGGGCGGGCCCCAUUUUCCCCGAUUUCCUCCCCAAAACCAAACCUUCUCCCGGCAGAACUUCCCCCUCCUCCCGACAUCGCGGUGACGCCGGAGAAGCCGGAGUACCUGAUCGGCGACACCGUCUCCAUCCGCUGCGCGGCCCCCAGGUCUACCAGUAGGGUCCAGGGCUUCCAGUUCUCCAGGACGGGGCGUUGGGUGGACGUCAGGAGCCCUUGGAGGACCUACACCUACACCUUCAACGUCACCGGCCCCAAAGACGGCGGGGCGCACACCUGCACCUACACCGUCACCGACCGCUACCGCCGGCCCGCGCGCUCGCGGGAGAGCCGAGCCGUUGACAUCAACGUUAGAGAGCCCCCCUCGGCCCCCCGCCUGGACGUGGAGCCCCCCUUCACGGAGCUGAGCGAGGGCGACCCGCUGCGACUCACCUGCCUGGCCCCCGCGGCCGCCCCCGGGCUCCGCUUCCACUUCUACAGGAACGGGGUCGAGAUCCCGAGGAGCCCCCCGGACCCCAAAAACGCCCCCGGGACCACCGCGGGGGGGUCCUCGGAGCUCCUCAUCCCGCAGACCCCGAGGGGCUUCGGUGGGACCUUCAGCUGCGGCUUCGAGGAGGACGUGGGUGGGACGUGGGUGGCGUCGCCGCCGAGCCGAGGGUUGGAGGUGGCCGUCAAGGACCUGCCGGGCCCUCCAGGCCUGCUGCUGGACCCCCCCUCGGGCGAAGUUCGGGCCGGGGACACCCUGGGGGUGACGUGCGCGGCCAACGGCAGCGGGGCGGGCGAGAGGAGGUUCUACUUCUACAAGGACGGCGCCGAGCAAUUUUCGGAGACCGGGGCCCGGGACCGGGUCCUCCUCAGCCUCCCCGUGGCCAAAACCACGGCCGGGAGCUUCUCCUGUAGGUACGAGGAGAAGGUGAGCGAGCGUUGGGUGCCCUCGCCGCUCAGCCGCGUGGUGGUGGUCACCGUGAAAGCCCCGGCUCUGCCCGUCCCGCUGGUGGCCGGUUGCGUCGCCGCCGCCGCCGCGCUGCUCCUGGGGCUGCUCGUGGCCGUCUGCUUCUGCCAGAGGAGGAGAGGUGAGCAAAAACGGGGGGAAAACGGGAAAAAUAACGUGAAAAAUCACUUUAGGGGCACAGCGAGGAGAUGGCGUUGGGUUGAGGGCCUUGAGGGCGCGUCCUUAGAUGGAGGAACCCCAAAAUCGCAAAGUUUCCCCCCAAAAUCCAAGCAAGUGUGGGAUGUUUGGGCUUCCCAUGAACCUUUUCGGGAGAAACAGCCCAUUUUUAACCAAAAAAGGGGGAUUAAGGAUAAAAAAAAACACUUUAGGGGCACAGCAAGGAGAUGGCGUUGGGUUGAGGGCCUUGAUGGCGCGCCCUUAGAACGGCGAACCCCAAAAUCCCAAAUUUUCUCCCCAAAAACCGAGCAAGUGUGGGAUGUUUGGGCUUCCCAUGAAGCUUUUCGGGAGAAACAGCCCAUUUUUAACCAAAAAAGGGGGAUUAAGGAUAAAAAACCACUUUAGGGGCACAGCAAGGAGACGGCGUUGGGUUGAGGGCCUUGAGGGCGCGUCCUUAGAUGGAGGAACCCCAAAAUCGCAAAGUUUCCCCCCAAAAGCCAACCAAACAUGGGGUAUUUGGGAUUGCCAUGAGCUUUUUCUGUAGAAACAGGCACUUUUUCACCCAAAAAAGGGGAUUAAGGAUAAAAAAAAGCACUUUAGGNGGGAAAUGGUUAAAAAAAUGGGAAAUGGUUAAAAAAUUGGGAAAAUGGUUAAAAAAGGUGGGAAAUGGUUAAAAAGGUGGAGAAAUGGUUAAAAAGGUGGGAAAUGGUUAAAAAAGGUGGGAAAUGGUUGAAAAAUUGGGAAAAUGGUUAAAAAGGGUGGAAAAUGGUUAAAAAAAGGUGAAGAAACUAAAGAAUAGGGCAGGAAAAAUGAAGGAAAAAGGAAAAUUAUUGAAGGAUGUGGGGAAAUCGAAAAAAGAGGCAGAGAAAAAAAGUAGAGAAAUGGUUAAAAGAGGAGGAAAAUGGUUAAAAGAGGGGAAAAAUGGUUAAAAGAGGAGGAAAAUGGUUAAAGCAGGGGGAAAAUGGUUAAUGGGGGGGGAGAAAUUAAAGAAGGAGGCAGAAAAAAAUUGAAGGAAUUGGGGAAAUUGAGGAAGGAGGCAGAGAAAAUGAGAAAGGAGGUGAAGAAACUGAAAAGGGAGAGGGAGAAAUGGGGGAAAAAGUGGAGAAAUUGGAAAAAGAGACGGAAAAUUUGUAAAAAGAGAGGGAAAACUUAAAAAAAAAGGGGAGAAAAAUUGAAAAAAAGAGGGAAAAUUUGAAAAAGAUGGAGAAAUUGUUGAGGGAGAGAAGGAAAUCCUUGAAGAAAGCGGGAAAAUUGAGAAAAGGGAUGGAAAAAUUGAAAGAGGAGGCAGGGAAAUCAGUGAAAAAGGAGGGAAACGGCCCCAAAAAAAUUCUCUGAGGUUGCUGACCUUUUUUUUUGGGGUGUUUUGGGGGUUUUUUGGACAGCCCCGGCUCUGCCCGUCCCGCUGGUGGCCGGUUGCGUCGCCGCCGCCGCCGCGCUGCUCCUGGGGCUGCUCGUGGCCGUCUGCUUCUGCCAGAGGAGGAGAGGUGAGCAAAAACGGGGGGAAAACGGGAAAAA
ensembl:lncRNA